rnacentral:rRNA from 1 species
UGGGGAAUAUUGGACAAUGGGCGAAAGCCUGAUCCAGCCAUGCCGCGUGUGUGAAGAAGGUCUUCGGAUUGUAAAGCACUUUAAGUUGGGAGGAAGGGCAGUAAGCGAAUACCUUGCUGUUUUGACGUUACCGACAGAAUAAGCACCGGCUAACUCUGUGCCAGCAGCCGCGGUAAUACAGAGGGUGCGAGCGUUAAUCGGAUUUACUGGGCGUAAAGCGUGCGUAGGCGGCUAAUUGAGUCGGAUGUGAAAUCCCCGAGCUUAACUUGGGAAUUGCAUUCGAUACUGGUUAGCUAGAGUGUGGGAGAGGAUGGUAGAAUUCCAGGUGUAGCGGUGAAAUGCGUAGAGAUCUGGAGGAAUACCGAUGGCGAAGGCAGACAUCUGGCCUAACACUGACGCUGAGGUACGAAAGCAUGGGGAGCAAACAGG